rnacentral:rRNA from 1 species
UACGUAGGGGGCGAGCGUUGUCCGGAGUUACUGGGCGUAAAGCGCUUGUAGGCGGUCCACCAAGUUUGGGGUGACAGUUGCCGACUUAAUCGGCAAAGUGCCUCAAAGACUGGCGGACUUGAGGGCCACAGAGGGACAUGGAACUCCAGGUGUAGUGGUGAAAUGCGUAGAUAUCAGGAGGAACACCGGUGGCGAAGGCGGGUCUCUGGGCCGAUACUGACACUGAGGAGCGAAAGCGUGGGGAGCGAACAGG